ensembl:lncRNA
GAGAGAGAUGAAGGGAGAGAUGAGGGAGAGAUGAAGGAGAGAUGGAGGAGAGAUGGGGAGAGAUGAGGGAUAGGUGGGGACAGAUGGAGGAGAGAUGGAGGAGAGAUGGAGGAGAGAUGGAGGAGAGAUGGGGGAGAGAUAGAUGAGAGAUGCGGUAGAGAUGUGGAGAGAUGAGGGAAAGAUGGAGGUGAGAUGAGGGAGAGAUGGGGAGAGAUGGGGGAUAGAUGAGGGAGAGAUGGAGGAGAGAUGGGGAGAGAUGAGGGAGAGAAGGAGGUGUGUUGAGGGAGAGAUGGAGGAGAGAUGAGGGAGAGAUGA